GCAGCAUUACAGGCUGGAAGUCACCACUUCCAGCGACACAAUUCCCAGUAACUCACUUAAACAAGGAGACCUAGAUUUGCACAGAAUACAUGAUAACGCAUAAAUACGACAUUCACUCAAAAGUGGUUUUCAAGGCUUUUUGAAGCCAGCCUCGCAGGGCUUUAAAGGAAACUACAACCACUGUGUUAUCUGUUGGACUUGGUCUUUGACAUAACAGCUUGGCGUACUGGCGCGAUCAAUCAGAAUCACCUUGUCCACCUUCUCAGACAAGUACUUAUUACUAAAA